AAGUACUUCCGUUGUCAAACCACAUACCACGUGACACAGGACAAAUAUAUCACUUUACACAUUUUCACGUUCUUUCGAAACCUGUGGCGUUUUACAGGAUAAGUGAUGAUAACUUUUUCAUUUUCAGACAUCCUGAAUCCGAAAGAAUUAAGUCCACCCAUUUCAAUAGGAAGAGACUUAAUAGCAGCUUAAAUAGGUAACAAGCUAGUUGUAGCCAAAGUCCCUGGGAAUACUCAGCACAGGACCGGAGCCAGCUCUGUUCUUUGGUUCAGAUGACAUCUCCAAGCUACAAGAGAGAAACGGAGAAAGGGGGGCAGAGGGAGAGUGAAUUUUCCCUACGAGCUGGAGCCCUGGAGGUGACGCAAUAAACACCUACGAGACGUGCGACGAAGGCGACGGUGUUCUAUAUGCUUAUGUGAUUUUAACUGUAAAUAAAUAAAUAAAUAAAUAAAUAAUCA